GGUUGUUGAUCAAAUCUUUUCACUUUUCUUUCAUAUCUUUCAAAGUUUUUUCUUCAGAUAUUUCUCUAAUUUUUGCUUUAGUAUUUUUAUAGCAUCGAUUUGCUAGGUGUCCUUCUUGAUUGCAUUUAUAACAAACUAGAAGUUUUCUUUUUGGGUAUUCAGUCUUUACUUUGUUCCUUUUAGAAUAUGGUUUAGAAGAACUUUUCUAUUUCUUUGAAGAU
rnacentral:lncRNA from 1 species